rnacentral:rRNA from 1 species
UUUUUAAAGACCUUUCUUCGAAAGGUAUAGCUUAAAGAUGAGCUUGCGCCACAUUAGUUUGUUGGUGGGGUAAUGGCCUACCAAGACGAUGAUGUGUAGCUGGACUGAGAGGUCGAACAGCCACAUUGGGACUGAGACACGGCCCAAACUCCUACGGGAGGCAGCAGUAGGGAAUUUUCGGCAAUGGAGGAAACUCUGACCGAGCAACGCCGCGUGAACGAUGAAGUAUUUCGGUAUGUAAAGUUCUUUUAUUGAAGAAGAAAAAAUAGUGGAAAAACUAUCUUGACGUUAUUCAAUGAAUAAGCCCCGGCUAACUAUGUGCCAGCAGCCGCGGUAAGACAUAGGGGGCGAGCGUUAUCCGGAAUUAUUGGGCGUAAAGGGUGCGUAGGCGGUUAGGAAAGUCUAUAAUUUAAUUUCAGUGCUUAACGCUGUCUUGUUAUAGAAACUACCUUGACUAGAGUUAGAUAGAGGCAAGCGGAAUUCCAUGUGUAGCGGUAAAAUGUGUAAAUAUAUGGAGGAACACCAGAAGCGUAGGCGGCUUGCUGGGUCUUGACUGACGCUGAGGCACGAAAGCGUGGGUAGCAAACAGGAUUAGAUACCCUGGUAGUCCACGCCGUAAACGAUGAGUACUAAGUGUCGGGAUAAAACUCGGUACUGAAGUUAACACAUUAAGUACUCCGCCUGAGUAGUACGUACGCAAGUAUGAAACUUAAAGGAAUUGACGGGACUCCGCACAAGCGGUGGAUCAUGUUGUUUAAUUCGAAGAUACACGAAAAAUCUUACCAGGUCUUGACAUGCUCUGCAAAGCUAUAGAAAUAUAGUGGAGGUUAUCAGGGACACAGGUGGUGCAUGGUUGUCGUCAGUUCGUGUCGUGAGAUGUUAGGUUAAGUCCUAAAACGAGCGCAACCCUUGUCGUUAGUUACCAGCACGUAAUGGUGGGACACUUUAACGAGACUGCCGAUUAUACAUUGGUAGAAAGGUGAAGGAUUACGUCAAAUCAUCAUGCCCCCUUAUGAUCUGGGCUACAAUCGUGAUACAAUGGCUGUUACAAAGAGUAGCUCGAACCGCGAGUUUUUAGCCAAUCUUUAAAAAAGCAGUCUCAGGUUCCGGAUUGAAGUCUGCAACGAUCGACUUCAUGGAAAGUUGUAAUCGCUAGUAAUCCGCGAAUCAGCAUGUCGCGGUGAAUACGUUCGCGGGGUUUGUAUACACCGCCCGUC